rnacentral:rRNA from 1 species
CUUAAGCAUAUCAAUAAGCGGAGGAAAAGAAACCAACAGGGAUUGCCCUAGUAACGGCGAGUGAAGCGGCAACAGCUCAAAUUUGAAAUCUGGCGCAAGCCCGAGUUGUAAUUUGUAGAGGAUGCUUCUAGGUAGCGACCGGUCUAAGUUCCUUGGAACAGGACGUCAUAGAGGGUGAGAAUCCCGUAUGUGACCGGCCCGCACCUUCCACGUAGCUCCUUCGACGAGUCGAGUUGUUUGGGAAUGCAGCUCUAAAUGGGAGGUAAAUUUCUUCUAAAGCUAAAUACCGGCCAGAGACCGAUAGCGCACAAGUAGAGUGAUCGAAAGAUGAAAAGCACUUUGGAAAGAGAGUUAAAAAGCACGUGAAAUUGUUGAAAGGGAAGCGCUCACAACCAGACUUCUGGGCGGUGUUCCGCCGGUCUUCUGACCGGUCUACUCGCCGUCCCGAGGCCAACAUCAUCUGGGACCGCCGGAUAAGACCUCAGGAAUGUAGCUUCCCUCGGGAAGUGUUAUAGCCUGUGGUGAUGCGGCGCGUCUCGGGUGAGGUCCGCGCUUCGGCAAGGAUGUUGGCGUAAUGGUUGUCAGCGGCCCGUCUUGAAACACGGACCAAGGAGUCUAACAUCUAUGCGAGUGUUCGGGUGUCAAACCCCUACGCGUAAUGAAAGUGAACGGAGGUGGGAAGCGCAAGCUGCACCAUCGACCGAUCCUGAUGUCCUCGGAUGGAUUUGAGUAAGAGCAUAGCUGUUGGGACCCGAAAGAUGGUGAACUAUGCCUGAAUAGGGUGAAGCCAGAGGAAACUCUGGUGGAGGCUCGCAGCGGUUCUGACGUGCAAAUCGAUCGUCAAAUUUGGGUAUAGGGGCGAAAGACUAAUCGAACCAU